CCUACGGGACGCAGCAGUGAGGAAUAUUGGUCAAUGGGCGAGAGCCUGAACCAGCCAAGUCGCGUGAAGGAUGACGGCCCUAUGGGUUGUAAACUUCUUUUGUCAGGGAGCAAUUGAGUCCACGUGUGGGCUUAGCGAGAGUACCUGAAGAAAAAGCAUCGGCUAACUCCGUGCCAGCAGCCGCGGUAAUACGGAGGAUGCGAGCGUUAUCCGGAUUUAUUGGGUUUAAAGGGUGCGUAGGUGGUUAAUUAAGUCAGCGGUGAAAGUUUGUGGCUCAACCAUAAAAUUGCCGUUGAAACUGGUUG
rnacentral:rRNA from 1 species